GUAAAAGAUGGUUGUUUAAAUAUCACUACAUAAUGUUGUUGCAAAUUCCGUCAAGAUAUCGACAGAAAUGUUCCUUAAGUUAAAAGGUAAGAUAUGUUUGUUGAAAAAUCAUCAUGAUUACAAUUAUAUUCCCUUUUUGUAAAAUUGAGCUUUGAGGUUGUAGAAUACAUCAGAACAAUUUCAGGUUUUUUUUGGUAUAACAUGCAAUGUAUUUGAUACAUGAAGAGUUAAUUUGAAGAUAUUAUAAAUUUCCUGUUUACAAAACUUAAAAUUUUUCAAAAAAGUAAGGAUUUUCUUAUCCCAGGCAUAGAUUACCUUAGUCGUAUUUGGCACAAUAUUUUGGAAUUUUGGAUCCUCAAUUCUCUUAAACUUUGUACUUGUUUGGCUUUAUAACUUCAUUGUAUUUUGAUAUGAGCGUCAAUGAUGAGUCUUAUGUAGACGAAACGAGCGUCUGGCGUACUUAAUUAUAAUCCUGGUACCUUUGAUAACUAUUAACAUUGCUUGAAUUAUACCUGAUAAUUGUGGAAAUAGUUGGAGAAUAAGCAACAAUAAAUAUACUAAAGUUAUAGGAGGCUUUUAUAUUACAGACCCAGUUCAAACGACAAAAAGCACUUAUUCAUGAUGGAUUUGAAGAAAUAAAAUAAAAUCCUAAAAGGUAUUUACCUUAACUCAAUAGAGCAUGAUUUAAAAAGUAAAAAAUAACAAAAAUAUCAAACGCAAAGGAGAAAUUAAUGCAGAAAGUGCAUGAUCAAAAAUUAAUUUCAAAUUCAAAAGCUCAAGCACAUCAAAUGAUUUCCUCAUAUAGAAAAGAAUGGCUUUAAUAUGGUUUUAUAUCUAUAGCUAGCUAAACCUCUGAAGUUUUUAAGUCACAAAACAUGCGAGUAAAAUUACAUAAAACUACCAAGGUCAAACUAUGAUCCAUGAUUUUAACCAAAUAAUUAUCAAAAUUUCUUUUUUCUUUUUAGUGGCAAUUUAACUAUGAUCCUUUGUAUUUACAGAUCUUAAAUUGGUCUUCCUGUUGUUUGUCCGUCACGUGGAGUUCAUGCAAGCAACUGAUAAUGAUGGUGUUAUCGAUAUACCAUGUCCUACCCCGAUAUUCAUAUGUCAAGACAGACAGUUGUACCAUGAGGCUAUCUGUUCUGGAGAUUAUAUUCCACGUAUGCCAGC
rnacentral:lncRNA from 1 species